rnacentral:rRNA from 1 species
UACGUAGGGUGCGAGCGUUGUCCGGAAUUAUUGGGCGUAAAGGGCUCGUAGGCGGUUUGUCGCGUCGGGAGUGAAAACACCGGGCUUAACUCGGUGCUUGCUUUCGAUACGGGCAGACUAGAGGCAUGCAGGGGAGAACGGAAUUCCUGGUGUAGCGGUGAAAUGCGUAGAUAUCUGGAGGAACACCGGUGGCGAAGGCGGCAUCCUGGACCGGCAUUGACGCUGAGGCGCGAAAGCCAGGGGAGCAAACGGG